UACGUAGGGUGCAAGCGUUAAUCGGAAUUACUGGGCGUAAAGCGUGCGCAGGCGGUUGUGCAAGACAGAUGUGAAAUCCCCGGGCUUAACCUGGGAACUGCAUUUGUGACUGUACGGCUGGAGUGCGGCAGAGGGGGAUGGAAUUCCGCGUGUAGCAGUGAAAUGCGUAGAUAUGCGGAGGAACACCGACGGCGAAGGCAAUCCCCUGGGCCUGCACUGACGCUCAUGCACGAAAGCGUGGGGAGCAAACAGG
rnacentral:rRNA from 1 species